rnacentral:rRNA from 1 species
GCGAAAGCGCGAUAAGGGGACCUCGAGUGCGUGCGCAAUGCGUACGCUUUUCAGAUGCCUAAAAAGCAUGUGGAAUAAGGGCCGGGCAAGACCGGUGCCAGCCGCCGCGGUAACACCGGCGGCUCAAGUGGUGGCCGCUAUUAUUGGGCUUAAAGGGUCCGUAGCCGGACCAGUUAGUCCCUUGGGAAAUCUUACGGCUUAACCGUAAGGCUGCCAAU